GACGAACGCUGGCGGCGCGCUUAACACAUGCAAGUCGAACGGAAAGGCCUGCUUUCCCUUGUGGAUUGCGGGUACUCGAGUGGCGAACGGGUGAGUAACACGUGAGUGAUCUGCCCCCAACUUGGGUAUAAGCCUGGAAAACUGGGUCUAAUUCCCGAUAGGACUGCAGGGUGGUGCCUGUGGUGGAAAACGAUUUUCUAGUGGUUGGGGAUGAGCUCGCGGCCUAUCAGCUUGUUGGUGGGGUAAUGGCCUACCAAGGCGGCGACGGGUAGCCGGCCUGGGAGGGUGGACGGCCACAUUGGGACUGAGAUACGGCCCAGACUCCUACGGGAGGCAGCAGUGGGGAAUAUUGCACAAUGGGCGGAAGCCUGAUGCAGCGACGCCGCGUGGGGGAUGACGGCCUUCGGGUUGUAAACUCCUUUCGACCGCGAGGAAGCCACCUGGUUGGAAGGGUGGUGACGGUAGUGGUAGAAGAAGCACCGGCUAACUACGUG
rnacentral:rRNA from 1 species